CAGGAGGCGCCUGCCCCGAGCGGGAGCAGUUACCUGCGCGGCGGGGAACAUCCCCCGCCCCAGAGAAAGGGCUGGGUACAGGCACCCAGCCUGGGGGUGGCACUUAAGGGCAGCGCGUAGAAAGAAGCAAAAUAACUGUGGUUUGGAGCAGUCCACGUCGAUAUCUUCGGGGAAGAACGAUUCGUGCCACAGGUGGGCUGAGAAGGAGAGAAACCAGGGAGGCAGAAGAUGAUCCUGGGGUGAAGACAAUCCCUUGUCCUUCAUUAGUGCUGCUGCCCACCAAAUACCCCCAAACACUUCACAGACAUAAGGGCCUCAAUGUCUCCACGAGUAUACCUGGUGGGAUGAUCCCACUUCUACAAAUGGGGCAACCAAGACAUGGGAUGGGCAAGUGACUUUGUGGCUUAGCCAAGGUCACACAGGAAUCACCUGGCAGAGCUGGGCAAAGAACUCAGCUCACUCACUGAGUCCCACUUUGUCUUACACCACAGCAAGCCAGCUUUCCUGUGUAUAGGAGAGCAGACUGCAAAUCACACACUAUUUUAUAAAGUGAUGUGAUGUUAAUAUUUAAAAUAAAACCCCAAAGCAAUAAUGGGUCACAGACUGUAUGAGCGGGGGUCACAUGAAGGAAGGAAGCUUUUUAUACAGCUCUGGGGUGACCACAGCUGAAAUAUUGUGUGGUCAGUUCUAGAUACUUUCUUACUGAAUAAAUGGGAGUAUGGAGAAGAGUAACAGGAAUUAAGAAGCUGGAAGGACUCAUUUAUAGAGAAUUAAGACCCCAAUCCUAAAAUGAGAGCUGUGCGAAGAGAAUGGGACUCACCCAGUGUUCAUUGCAGGAUCGGGGCCUAAAAUAAUUGUCAUAUCGUAUUUUACUAAGAGGUGUUGUUCUUAUUUGGCUUAUGCAAUUUGGUCAAGCCAAGCCACAGUGUUCUUAUCAACGAUGUUCAAGGCACGAAGGCCUCCAGGAAGCUGUCAUUUUGCAGUCCUCAGCAAUAUGUCAUGGUUUGUGGCUGCACACGCAGACAUAGUAGACUAUCUCUAAAAUGCCACUGAAAUUCUGCUGCAGCACAAAUUCCAUGUCCGGUAUGAAACUGGUUCAGAAGGCUUCAUUGCCUUUGCGUAAAUCAAACCCGGCUUGACGUUGAGUGGGAUCCGAGACAAGCAGGCGAUGUGAGGGCAGACGACCAUGUGAUGGAUUAAACAAGUCUUUAACAGAAGAUAUGGCAUAUCACCCAAUUUCGUCAUGAGCUUUGCGACACUUUCUGAGAACACUGGGCAGACCAAUAUUGCAGAGAACUGGUAACCAAGCCUCCCCUACUCUGCGACAAGCUAAACUUCAAUUCUGCAAUAGUCUGGCACAGCAAACUGGUAGUUUUACAAUAACACCAUUUAAGUUAAAAAGAUUAAAGAUUUAGGGUGGGAUUGUCCCACAAAAAGUGAAAAACUGAAAAUCAGAGGGAACUGAGGUCCAGAUCCUCUGAAAGAUCUGGGCCCAAGUACUUAACUUCCUUGGGCAGUUUUGAAAAAUCUCACCCUUGAUCUUCAAUAAAGAUUUAAAACUUCAAUUUAAGUAUACAUGUAUUAAAUCCAAAAAUGAAUACAAAUAUAUUAAGUCAGUAUAGUGGCCUAAUGUGUUAUUUUGCUACUAAAUUCAACUUAUUUUGUGUCCCCUCCACACUUUCAAUUUUCAUUUUGCCAUAAUCUUUUGUUUGGUAACACAUAACAGUGCAAAUAAAUCUCAGUUGGCUAUUGCAACCAUUUGGGAGGAGACUUUUGGCACCCCGGGAGGGAUCAGAGGCAAUUAAGUUGUG